CAGUCGUAACAAGGCCCGCGAAGCUUUGCAAUCUCUGGUAAAUCAUAGCCCGGAAAGUAGUUUUGAUUCAGAGACCUCUGGCCCGUGCGAAUAUUGGAACAGUUACAAUUUUGAGCGGUAGUUCUACAGGCCUUGUUUCCCCAAGCAGUCAGUGGCUGAAAGUGUCAUUGAUUGUGCAAGGAUAACGCUUCACGAUUCUUGUAGACCGCAUCUCGCGGGCAGGAGCAAGGCCAAAGGGUCCCCAUUGCCCUUUACAACCCACAGUUUAAUGUGAAGCUCAAUGUAAUACAUUGGGUAAAAAAACCGAACAACUGUUAACAAUGGAUAUCUUGGUUCUC
rnacentral:misc_RNA from 1 species